rnacentral:rRNA from 1 species
UGCCAGCCGCCGCGGUAAUACGGAAGGUGCGAGCGUUAAUCGGAAUUACUGGGCGUAAAGCGCACGUAGGUGGCUUGGUAAGUCGGAUGUGAAAGCCCUGGGCUCAACCUGGGAAUUGCAUUCGAUACUGCUUAGCUAGAGUAUGAGAGAGGGUAGUGGAAUUCCGGGUGUAGCGGUGAAAUGCGUAGAUAUCCGGAGGAACAUCAGUGGCGAAGGCGGCUUGCUGGGACAGUUCUGACGCUGAGGGACGAAAGCGUGGGUAGCAAACCGGAUUAGAUA